UACAGAGACUGCAAGCGUUAUUCGGAUUCACUGGGCGUAAAGGGAGCGUAGGCGGCGUGGUAAGUCAGAUGUGAAAUCCCGGGGCUCAACCCCGGAACUGCAUCCGAUACUGCUAUGCUAGAGUGAUGGAGAGGUAGCUGGAAUUCACGGUGUAGCAGUGAAAUGCGUAGAUAUCGUGAGGAACACUCGUGGCGAAAGCGAGCUACUGGACAUUUACUGACGCUGAGGCUCGAAGGCUAGGGUAGCGAAAGGG
rnacentral:rRNA from 1 species